UACGGAGGGUGCUAGCGUUGUUCGGAAUUACUGGGCGUAAAGCGCACGUAGGCGGCUUUUUAAGUCAGAGGUGAAAGCCCGGGGCUCAACUCCGGAAUUGCCUUUGAGACUGGGAGGCUUGAACGUCGGAGAGGUGAGUGGAAUUCCGAGUGUAGAGGUGAAAUUCGUAGAUAUUCGGAAGAACACCAGUGGCGAAGGCGGCUCACUGGACGACUGUUGACGCUGAGGUGCGAAAGCGUGGGGAGCAAACAGG
rnacentral:rRNA from 1 species